UUCAUAUUUUUAAGUGCUACUUUUUAUUGUCUACAUCGAAAAAACGCACUAAUUUAAGGUACCCGUAUUUUUUUUAUUUUGCGUAAGUCCUAUAUUUUGGUCAUAAAAUCUAUUUAUAUUGUUACUUGAAACAAAAGGGCGUAUGUAACAAACGUCAUUUGUGAGAAUCGUGACGUCACGGAUCUGUUUCAUACACUGGAAAAAACGUUGAAUUAAUUUACGUUUGAGCAUAGACAACAGUGCGAGUCACAUAACUUCAAACGUUAAAAAUAAAAUCACAAAUUAACAAGUGUCACAAACUUCAAAACUCAAGUCAAACGAUUGGUUUUCAUCCCGUUUUCAAUAAUAUUUGUUUCUAGAAAUGCCUCGUAUUAAACAUUGUUUUUUCAAAACAUGCCAAAACAACACUGGUUUGUCGGCGAAAAAGAAGUUUUUUACUGUUCCGACGGACAAUAAAGCUCAGUGGUGUGCAGCAGCCGGCUGGGAUCAUGUACCUACAAGGGCAUUAUUUAUUUGCGAAGAUCAUCUGAAUGUAUGUACCUAAUAUCAGAAUGUAUGUAACUAUGUACUAUGAAGUGCCGGUAUAGCUCGGUGAUAAGACGCGUUACCUAUUGUGGGAGUAUAAAUAGGUCAUGGUUAAAGAAAGUACCGUAGAGUCCAUUAAAAUGCAGGGUCGUUUGGAAAGUCGUGAUAAUUCAGUGUCGUAAAUAAUAAAAUCACACAAGAAAAAUAUCCGAACAAUGUGAACUGUUAGUAAACCAUUGUCAAGUGUCACUGGUAGUGAAGUGACAAUGACAAUGACAAUGUCAACCCAAUCGGAAGUCAUUUCUUUGCUUGUAGUGGCAGAACUGAAGCAGCUGGGUGACGUCAAUUUCCGUUUUAACUAUUUUUAGAGAUUUUGAAUACAAAAAAUCGUAAAAAAUAUAUAAAA